GAAGAGACUCACUGGUUGCUCAGUACGUAGUGCGACAAGGCGGAAAGUGGUUGCUGCAGUGAGAUGAUGGUGACUGAAGCCGCUAAGUCGUUAUAUUCCAGGUUACUGACUGAAACAAGCAUGUUAUCUUCUAAGUGAGUCUAAAACGUGCCUGCACUUGUCCGCUCCCGAGAGGGUGCUCCAAGCGCAAGGGCUUGCCAUGCUUU
rnacentral:lncRNA from 1 species